rnacentral:lncRNA from 1 species
AAUUUCUCUGUUCCCCAUCGGAAAUCCCUCUUCGCCGGAGAAAUGGCAUCGCUACAACAAUUACUAAACCCUCCCAACAUCCCCUGCCGCCACCGUACCUCUGCCUCACUCCUCCUCUCCAACCCAAACAAAAACUUCCUCCGCCAGCCGUUUCCUCAAUCAACCGUCGCCAUCCGCCGCCGCCACAUCCAACUCAAUCACCACAAUUCCCUCUUUUCAUCUCCCCACUCCAUGAUCAAAAGAAACCACCCUCCAAUUCAAGCUUUCGAUUCAACCGAAACAGAGGUCAUCACCAUCGAUUCCAACGACGGCGCCGUCGCCGUCCCUCCACCGGCAGCUGCACCAACCAGGUUUCAAAAACAGGCGGCGGCGAUGGACGAGUUCCCUGGAGAAAACGGGCCGGCGUUCGAAAUCCGAAAAGAAGUCAACGGAUGGGAAAAAUUGCUCCUCAACCUCCGGCUGCUCGUCGCUCCGCCGUGGCAGAGAGUCGCUAACGGCAGCGUUCUGUGUAUCAACUUCGGCGGAACGGUCUGUGUUAAUUAAUUAAUUGAAUCUUUGUUUUAUUAAUUAAUAUCUUAGUCUUUGUUUUGUUCAUUUUUCUUGACAUGGAUGGACUGAUCGGUCAACGAUUAGCAAAUUGUGAUGACUUUUGUCGGUUGCAUGUUUCAGAUAUCGGACGUUAAAGGACGUUGGUUCUCGCCGGAACUGACGCUUCCGGAGAUUUGUGAGAAUUUCGCCAAGGCGGCGAACGAUCCUCGUAUUUCAGGGAUUCUUGUGACGUUCAACUUCAUAGAGUGUGGGUGGGCGAAAUUGGAAGAAAUUCGUCGCCAUAUUUUGGAAUUCCGAAAAUCAGGUUCCACUAACUAACCAUUUCGGUCAGUUAAUCGGUUAAUCAUUUGAAAUACCUUUGACCCGAUGAAUUUAAGCCGACUCGUCUCAUAAUUUGUUCACGGUUAAGGGUUAAAAUCGAUUAGAUCGGUCGAAUUGACACCAACCCAGUUGGUUUAUGGGUAAUAGGUUUGAAUUCUUUUUGUCUACCGACCGACCGAAAUCCAUCAAUUAUAAACCACCCGGGCAACUCCCUCACUAAGAAAGUGAAUGAGAAAACACAAUUUUGCCUUAAUUGAGUAUUAGAUGUUUCUUUUCGGUCGAAGUAGAUCGAGAAUGGUCGUUAAUUAUUAUAUUGACGUUCAUUUCGUUUAUGUGUUGGAUUCUAACUCGAAACUGGGUCACUAAAUACAAAAAUAUUAGAUGCAUCAGAUCAAUUAUAACAAACCUAAACACAAUACCAUUAUACAAUAAUUAAGGGUGGGAAUUGGGCCGGGUAUGGAUCAAACUGGGAUUUCAUAUGGGUCGGGCUUUUUCUGCUUUUAUCCGAAAAGCCCGAAGUCCAAAUCUAUAUUUUGUGGACCCGAGUCUGAUCUUAUUUAUUCUGGACUUUUGUUUUGCCGUUUUGACUGGAUCGGGCGGGUUAUAUUGGUAUUGGGCAGGAAAAUUUGUGGUUGGGUACAUGUACGCAUUCAGGGAGAAAGAGUAUUACCUUGGUUGUGCAUGUGACGAGUUAUAUGCACCUACAUUGGCUCCCUUCUCUUUAUAUGGCUUCACUCUUGGGUCGCAAUUUUUUCGAGGUAACCAAUUUAGUCGAUUUUUGGAAGUGAUGAAUUUCGAAAUUUCUGCAACUUCAUUCGAUUCGUACGGUAUACUCUUGUCAUCAGGUAUACUGGAGAAGCUGGGUAUGGAACCGCAAUGGGUUAGGAUUGGCAAGUUCAAGAAAGCAGGGGACCAAGUGAUACGAAAGACAAUCUCUGAGCCGCAUCUCGAGGUCCUGAACAGCAUGCUCGAUGGCCGAUACGAAAAUUGGGUUGAAACUGUUUCUUCCGCCACAGGUAACAAUAAAGAUAAAACCUCUGUAGCUACAAUAUGUGCACAUGACUUAUAGAAACUGGUAAAACGAGCAGGAAAGACGAGAGAGGAAGUGGAAAGCUUCAUUAAUGAAGGUGUGUACGAGAUGGAGCGGGUGAAAGAAGCGGGGUUGAUAACUGACAUACUCUACGAAGAGGACGUAAGUUAAUUAGUUCCGUCACGAAAUAGUUGCAAGAAAAUUUACUGUGACAUAAAAAGUUUAUAUCGAAAGUCGCUCCUCUAAUACCUGAAAUCCUGGCUACGCCACUGUAUGUAUGUAGGUGAUGUCGAUGUUGAAAGCGAGACUUGGAGUUCCAAAGGAGAAAGAUCUGCCUACUGUUGACUAUAAGUUCGUACUAAACCCUUAACUCUAAAGUCUAAAUCUUUGAUUUAUACACGAAAGUAAAUGAAUGAAAAAAUGAGUGAACAAAAUGUAGGCGAUACUCGAAAGUAACAAAUUGGACACUGGGGUUAAACGCCGGAGAAGAUUCAAUAGCUGUGAUCCGAGCAAGUGGCAUGGUCGUCGGUAAAUGGGGUAUAUUGAACUUUCCUGGCUCUGCCAUAACUCCCGACAACAUCAUAAAACAGUUUCGUAUAAUCCGAGGUAUUUCACCGAAUGCAAUACUUGAUCGAUCUCAUCACAGUCAUUUUUUCUCCUUUUCUCUUAAUUCCGGACUGUGUUUAUUGUUUUUGGCAGACUCGAAGAAAAUCAAAGCAGUAAUCUUCAGGAUCGAUUGCUGUGGCGGCGAGGCUCUUGCAUCAGAUAUGUAAGUGAUACGAGAGUUGGUUCACCUACUUAACUCAUUCACCCUAAUGACGACUAAUUUCAUGGUUUGAUUCAUGUGGCAGAAUAUGGAAGGAGAUGCAGCUACUGGCGAAAGAAAAACCGGUUAUAGCAUCACUGUCUGACAUGGCAGCCAGUGGCGGCUACUACAUUGCGAUGGGAGCAACUGCCAUCGUCGCUGAGAAGUUGUCGGUAGCUUCUUCGAUCGGUAUCAUUCAAGGUAUAUAACAUAUUGCUACAAAAUAAUAUUGCUAAGUGAAGGAAGUUUAAUUUGAUCAUAAUGUUUUGAUGUGUUAGGUAAAAUGAACUUCUCCGAGUUUCACAAGAAAAUUGGGUUGAACAAGCACAUUGUAUCAAGGGGUAGAUACGCCGAGUUCCCUACGUGUGGACAUAGACCCCUGAGGUAAGUAAUUAGAGAUAUCGGUAUACUGGGGUAGAUUCGUCAAUGUGAGUUUCAGUUCGGGCUGCGACUGAGCUGGAUUGAGCCAACUAAUACCCUAGUGAAUAAUUAGCUACAUUGCAUGGUUGUUUUUUUAGGCCGGACGAGAAAGCCCUUCUGGAGAACCAAACUAUGUACUGGUACAAAAUAUAUCGCGAUAGAGCAGCAUUGUCUCGUAACAUGAGCGUGAGUAGUAAUCCAUUUUCGAAACCAUACUAUUCUCUAAUAUAUAAAGUUCGAUCCACAUUUUUUGGUCCUAAAUUUAUCUCAUUGACAUCGAUCGAUGGACAGAUAGAAGAUACGGAAAAGGUGGCACAAGGCAGAGUAUGGAGUGGAGAGGAAGCGGUUUCAAACGGUUUAGCAGAUGCAGUUGGCGGUAUGGCUCGGGCUAUAGCCAUCGCCAAGCACAAGGCUAAUAUCCCCCUCGAUAAACCCGUGAGUGGACUGGACCGUGGUUCAUAGAGGCUCUUGUUAUCUGUACUUCACCUACUUUGUUAUGUUCAAAAAUAUUUAAUUUUGCUUGUGCUGUAUAAUGUAUGCAGGUAAAGAUUGUGGAGCUAUCGAAACCGAAUUCGUCACUGCCGGAGUACAUAGCUGCUUUCGGGACUACUAUAGCUGGACUAGGCAGAGGAUCAGCGAUGGUAUCGGCAUACAGCGGUGCUCAAGCUCGACUCGAUGGGGGGGAUUCCGACAACCCGAUUUUUGCUAUAAUGAAGUAUUUUCUCGAGUUCAGUCAGACCGGGGCGGUGCAGGGCUCUAUGAAUGAGCUCUUGUAAGUUCAUAUUUGGAGAGACCUGGGACGGAUUUGUCUGUGACCAAUAAUCGAGUUUCAUCUAUGGUUACAUUUGAAUGAAACAUAUUAUCUUAAUAAACAAAAUAUGUCGGGAGUUUCAUAAUUUGGUACAUGCUUCUGAAAUAUUCCUGAAUUCCAUCCCCUUUAUUUUUUACAUUAAUUAUGUUAAGAUUUAAAAAUUGGACCCCAAUUAGAAUACCGUCAUAAUUAUUAUAACAACUCAAUUACUUUACAAUUUCGAUAACGUUAUUAAAUUAGUGUCUAAUGGUGAAAGAUGCUGUAACAGCUUGAUAUGUUGUUGAAUAAUUUUAGAACAUUAUAAACUCCCCGGGGACACUGACGGAUACAUGAGGAGCCAGGGUGAGUCCCGGUUGACUCCAUCUUCGGUCCCGAACAUUGAAAUCGAGCAUAUUUUUAUGAUUUUCUUAAAUCUGGCGCAGUGUAUUCGGUGAUAUUUAAAGUUUUAUUCUCCCAAUCGUGGUAUUUUUAACUCUGGCUUCGAAAUUACUUGAUCCUGCUCAGUGUAUAUGUUUCAAUUUUUAUUCCGCCCUUGGUCCUUUAGUAUUAUAAAAUACGAAAAUUUUAAUAACGAUAUGCAACCUUUUGUUCAAUAUUUCUUAUAUUAUGAAUCCCAAUUAGUAGAAAUCUCGCUACCGGCUACACCACUAAUUUCUAUUUAUAAAUGAGUUAUUAUAUAUAUAAUGAGGUAUCGGUACCUUAUAUACUAAAAACCUCAUAUUUUUAAAAUUAAAAAAUUAAAAAAUAAAUCCUAAAGUCUUUAUACCUUAUAUACUAAAAACCUCAUAUUUUUAAAUAAAUCCUAAAGUCUUUAUAUUAAAUCCUAAAUACUAGAGAAUGAUGCUAACGCCUAAACACUAAAUUAUAACCCUCAAACACUGCAUUAUAAAUUCAAACUCAAAAUCGUAUCACAAACUCUAACUGUUGAUCAUAAAUCAAGAUUAAUAGAUCCUAAACCCUUAUCAAACUCUAACAGCUAACACUAUACCCAGAUGGCUAACACAAACCUUCAACCUUAAAAUUUUUAAUUUUAAACACAAAAUAAAAUAAAAUUUAAUAUAUAGGGUACCGACACCUGAUACCAAUUUUUUUCCAUAUAUAUAUAAGAAAAAGCAUAAAAGUUAUACAUCAACAAAAAUAUAGCUGAGGGAACAAACCGCAGCAACAAUCACAAAAUUACAAGGCUCUAUAACUUAGUAGCGACCUUCAAAAACACCUUACACCACUAGUUGUAGUGAAGGUUUACAUCAACUAGACUUUUUUUUUGAAAACAAAACUACACUAUUUCUUCUCAACCGUGCUUGAAUAACUCUCGCCCGAGUGUUGAUUCAGGAGGCGUUGGGACGUGGAUUUAGGGCGCUUGACAUCAUCGAUGACUCAACGACGUCUAUCGUCGUCAGAUUUUUGUCAAAAAAACAAUACUAUUUCAAAUAACAUUUGAGAUAUCUCAUGCCAAAUGAACCAUGGUGUCCCACCCGCAUGACUGCUUUGAUUUGUCAUUACCCUAGUUUAAGGUUUUACCCAGAUAUUCCAAUCCCGUUAGACUGAUAUGCUUAAUUAAUUGCUAGGAUAUCCACAUCGGUUUCAAUUUUAAUUAAUCUUUUUCUAAUUGUCCGCUAAUUAAUUAAUGCUCGCUCACUGCAUGUCAAGCUAGCCAAUGGUUUUUUGGUUUCUAUUUACUUAAUUGUCUUCUGCAACAAAACAAAAACUUAUUAAAACAAACGGAGAGGAAACAAACGACAUGCAGAGACCGUUGGACCCAAAUUGAAGAAAGUAAAGCCGCCGUUACAUUGCUGCAUGCAUAAAGCAAUUUUUUCCACCGGUCCGCUCUAUAAAAUGUACUAAGUGGGGAGUCUUUCUCCUAAUCACCAACUUUCUCAGUUUCUUUCUUCCCAUCGAAAACCCCCCCUUCGCCGGAGAAAUGGCUGAGCUAAAACAAUUACUAAACCCUCCCAAUAUCCCCUGCCGCCACCGUACCUCUGCCUCACUCCUCUCCAUCCCAAACAAAAACUUCCUCCGCCAGCCGCUUCCUCAAUCAACCGCCGCCAUCCGCCGCCGCCACAUCCAACUCAAUCACCACGGUUCCCUCUUUUCAUCUCCCCACUCCAUGAUCAAAAGA